rnacentral:rRNA from 1 species
UACGUAGGUCCCGAGCGUUGUCCGGAUUUAUUGGGCGUAAAGCGAGCGCAGGUGGUUUAUUAAGUCUGGUGUAAAAGGCAGUGGCUCAACCAUUGUAUGCAUUGGAAACUGGUAGACUUGAGUGCAGGAGAGGAGAGUGGAAUUCCAUGUGUAGCGGUGAAAUGCGUAGAUAUAUGGAGGAACACCGGUGGCGAAAGCGGCUCACUGGCCUGUAACUGACACUGAGGCUCGAAAGCGCGGGGAGCAAACAGG